rnacentral:rRNA from 1 species
AUUGAACGCUGGCGGCAUGCUUUACACAUGCAAGUCGAACGGCAGCGCGGGCUUCGGCCUGGCGGCGAGUGGCGAACGGGUGAGUAAUACAUCGGAACGUGCCCAGUAGUGGGGGAUAGCUCGGCGAAAGCCGGAUUAAUACCGCAUACGACCUGAGGGUGAAAGCGGGGGAUCUUUGGACCUCGCGCUAUUGGAGCGGCCGAUGGCAGAUUAGCUAGUUGGUGGGGUAAAGGCCUACCAAGGCGACGAUCUGUAGCUGGUCUGAGAGGACGACCAGCCACACUGGGACUGAGACACGGCCCAGACUCCUACGGGAGGCAGCAGUGGGGAAUUUUGGACAAUGGGCGAAAGCCUGAUCCAGCAAUGCCGCGUGUGUGAUGAAGGCCUUCGGGUUGUAAAGCACUUUUGGCGGGAACGAAAAGGACUGUGCCAAUACCACGGUUCGAUGACGGUACCCGCAGAAUAAGCACCGGCUAACUACGUG